rnacentral:sRNA from 1 species
UAUAUAGAGUUUUAUCCCGAUGAAAGCUAAAAAAUUACUUUUGGUUUUCAUGGGGAUAAGACCCUAUCAUGGUUAUAAUGGCUUUCGGUGUAUCCAUCUUCCAAUAGAUUAACUUCGGUUAAUCGUCUGUUUUGACACCGAACCAUUAUUUGUUUUCAUUCAUCUCAUUUGCCAUGUAGUUUCAGUCUAUGCCUCAUCCCGUUAUGCAUAGACAUAUGAACAUGGUGGCGACGCUGGACAUUUUGUCCAGCGUAUUUUUUUU